rnacentral:rRNA from 1 species
CACGUAGGGCGCAAGCGUUGUCCGGAAUUAUUGGGCGUAAAGAGCUCGUAGGCGGUCUGUUGCGUCCGCUGUGAAAACCCAGGGCUUAACCCUGGGCUGGCAGUGGAUACGGACAGACUAGAGGUAGGUAGGGGAGAAUGGAAUUCCCGGUGUAGAGGUGAAAUUCGUAGAUAUCGGGAGGAACACCAGCGGCGAAGGCGGCGAUCUGGGCAGAUAUUGACGCUGAGGUGCGAAAGCGUGGGGAGCAAACAGG